GCCCGGGUGGUGAAAUUGGUAGACACAAGGGACUUAAAAUCCCUCUGCUUUUAGCAAUGCGGGUUCAAAUCCCGCUCCGGGUACCA
rnacentral:tRNA from 1 species